rnacentral:sRNA from 1 species
GGCAGCGUUAACGCUUCAUUAAGCUUUAUGGGUGUUUACUGUGUUCAUCCAGUGAUCUGGAUUCUUACCGAGUGGCUGGGCCACUCCGUUUGACGCCUCCCUGUUUAACUCCUGAGAGCCGCUUUCCAGUGGCUCUUUUUUU